CUCUCACUAGUCACCUGUGAUCAAGUCACCUCCUGAGUUAGCACCUACAGGAUGACCGACAAAAUGAACCUGGUACCUCCUUUGGAAUUGUGGAGACCACUCGGCUUCUGCGUCUCUCUCUCUAGGAGCUGCUUUCCAGAGCUGCCUCUUAUUCGGCCAUCUUGGGAUCCCCAGAAGUAU
rnacentral:lncRNA from 1 species